ACGUAGGAGACAAACGUUAUCCGGGGUUACUGGGCGUAAAGGGCGUGUAGGCGGUUUGUUAAGUCUGGCGUGAAAGCUCUCGGCUAAACCGGGAGAGGUCGUUGGAUACUGGCAAACUAGAGGACGGUAGAGGCGUGUGGAAUUCCGGGUGUAGUGGUGAAAUGCGUAGAUAUCGGGAGGAACACCAGAGGCGAAGGCGGCGAACUGGACAGCAACUGACACUCAACUGCGAAAGCGUGGGGAGCAAACAGG
rnacentral:rRNA from 1 species